GAGGUCAAGCAAAUCCCAUAAAGUUGCUCUCAGUUCGGAUUGUAGUCUGCAACUCGACUACAUGAAGCUGGAAUCGCUAGUAAUCGUAGAUCAGCAUGCUACGGUGAAUACGUUCCCGGGUCUUGUACACACCGCCCGUCACACCACGAGAGUUUGUAACACCCGAAGCCGGUGGAGUAACCUUUUAGGAGCUAGCCGUCGAAGGUGGGACAAAUGAUUGGGGUGAAGUCGUAACAAGGUAGCCGUAUCGGAAGGUGCGGCUGGAUCACCUCCUUU
rnacentral:rRNA from 1 species